rnacentral:rRNA from 1 species
UUGGAUUGGGGGGAACCCUGAUCAGCCUGCCGCGUGUGUGAAGAAGGCCUUUUGGUUGUAAAGCACUUUAAGCGAGGAGGAGGCUACUCUAGUUAAUACCUAGGGAUAGUGGACGUUACUCGCAGAAUAAGCACCGGCUAACUCUGUGCCAGCAGCCGCGGUAAUACAGAGGGUGCGAGCGUUAAUCGGAUUUACUGGGCGUAAAGCGUGCGUAGGUGGCCAAUUAAGUCAAAUGUGAAAUCCCCGAGCUUAACUUGGGAAUUGCAUUCGAUACUGGUUGGCUAGAGUAUGGGAGAGGAUGGUAGAAUUCCAGGUGUAGCGGUGAAAUGCGUAGAGAUCUGGAGGAAUACCGAUGGCGAAGGCAGCCAUCUGGCCUAGUACUGACACUGAGGUACGAAAGCAUGGGGAG